AUGUCUUUCUACGGAAUCGCAGGCCUAUUCAUUAGCUCCUACUUGUGGUGUACUAUUUUGUGGAAUGUAGGUAGUGGUUAUGACCGAUUCGAUAGAAAAGAGGGAAUAGUGUGCAUUUUUCGUUGGGGAUUCCCUGGAAUAAAACGUCGCGUCUUCCUUCGAUUCCUUAUGCGGGAUAUCCAAUCAAUUAGAAUUCAGGUUAAAGAGGGUCUUUAUCCUCGUCGUAUUCUUUAUAUGGAAAUCCGGGGCCAGGGGAUCAUUCCCUUGACUCAUACUGAUGAU
rnacentral:rRNA from 1 species